UAGCACCCACAUGAAAGGUUUCUCAGAUGU
rnacentral:piRNA from 1 species